GCACACUUUUGCAAAGUGAUUCCAUUGACUAUAUUUCAAGAUAUUGUCAAGUGUAUUUACAAAGUGAAGUGAAGGGGAGAGGUCUUGUACAAUAAGUCAACUUACUGGUUGUGCAUGGAAACUGACAACUGCAGGGUGGGAGAUGCAACAAUGGACUUGAGAACAGCAGGAAGUGUGUUGGUGGUCUUUCUCUGGUCUGUAGCAGUGGUACUCGGGAAAUAUGGUUGGAGUGUGACUUACACCAAGAAGAGUAUCUGUGCCUUGAAGGGGUCAACAGUGGAUCUGUCCUGCUCUUACACAUAUCCCAGAGGUCAUAGAGUCACAACAACCACAUGGAAUAAACGGAAGAGUUUAACUUGGACUCAAAUCCAAGAUA